CUUUUAACCAAAAAAGAGGUGUAUCCUGUCAUAUUUUUUUAAAAAAUUGUAGUUUUGCUGUGUAGUACUCGAAAUCGUACCAUGUCCGGGUCAGUGUCCCUGCUUCCCAGAUUGUCACGCACCUGCACAAUGGUUCAUUAAAGAACUCCUGCUAUACGGUAUAACUUAUAUCUGAUAUGUUCAGCUAUAAUGAUUCUAAGCAGACAAUUUUGGGUAGUCUUUUGCUUUGAUACUUCUGCAAGUUUCAGUAAUCAGUAUGAGCUGGUGCAAUUUGAAUGGCCGCUGGAGAAGCCAUGAAACCUGGAAAACAAUCUACCUACUGUUCCUGGGUCAGGUUGUCUCUUUUGUACUUGCACUCGGUAGCUUCACUUCGUCUCUGAUAGCUGAUCUUGGUGUAGAUGCACCACUUACUCAGACUUUGUUUCCUUACUUCUUUUUGGCUUCAGUUUAUGGGAGUAUUUUGCUGUAUAGGCGUAAGAGACUACUGGUUUCUUGGUAUUGGUAUCUCCUUUUAGGUUUUGUUGAUGUUCAAGGGAAUUAUCUUGUUAAUAAGGCAUACCAGUUCUCAUCAAUCACCAGCGUGACGUUAUUGGAUUGUUGGACAAUACCAUGGGUCAUGAUUUUGACAUGGUUCUUUCUAGGCACUCGGUAUUCCCUGUGGCAGUUAUUUAGUGCAGCCAUCUGUAUCAUUGGCCUUGGCUUAGUGUUCCUCUCUGAUGCUGGGGUGGGCGGUGGAGAUGGUUCGAAACCUCUGCUGGGGGAUGUACUUGUCAUUGCUGGGACAGUUUUCUAUGCAAUGAGCAAUGUUGGUGAGGAAUUCUGUGUUAAGAAAAAAAAUCGCAUUGAAGUAGUUGCGAUGAUUGGUGUCUAUGGAUUUCUAGUGAGUGUGGUUGAAGUAUCUAUAGUGGAGCUCAAGAGUCUGGAAUCAAUUGAGUGGUCUACAGAUAUUAUAUUAGCCUUUGCUGGGUUUGCUGUAUCAACUUUUAUGUUCUACACCGUUGCUCCUUUCGUUCUUCAGUUAAGUGGAGCAACGAUGUUCAAUCUCUCUAUCCUAACUUCUGACAUGUGGGCAGUUGUAAUUCGCAUUUUUUUCUACCACCAGCAGGUUGAUUGGUUAUACUAUUUAUCUUUUGCAAUUGUGUGUAUUGGACUUGUCAUCUAUUCAACAACCUCCUUACACCCUUGAGGAACCAAUGUCUGAUAAGCCUAGUGAGGAUUUUGAACUUGACCUUAGACAAAUUCCUUGAGCACAGUUUAGAGUAUACUAUAUUGAAGUUGUAAGAUAUCUUUGUAUUUCCAUAUUAAGUGGAAAAAAUAUAUAUAGUAAUAUGUUUUCACCAUUUGAGACUUUCUAUUACAAAAGGGAAAAGCAUCAUGAAAACGGUGAGAUGAAGCUAUAGCUUGACCCUUUUGUUAAGUGAGAAGAAUUAUGUUCCUGUACCUGCCAUCGAGGAUGGAAACUCCAAUACACAAUACGAAGUGCUUACUGAGGAAAUUGAAGCGACUAGAAAUGAGUCUUUGGUUUCGUGAGGGGCAGGGCAGAAUCCAGUAUAAUUAGGAGUGGAACUAGAAAUUCAUACUAGGUGGAAGCAUUAACAAUUAUGAAAAAUAAACUAACUAAGAGGGUUAUAUAAGAAGUAAGAAUAUUAGGGGGACUGCCUAUCUGGUCAGCAUUAAAUCAAACUGAAAUAUGAGGGUAAAUCUUGAGAUUCUAGAAAGUUUGAAUGCCAUGGCCCCCAAACAGGUAUGUAGUUCCAAGAAAAAUUUGAGUUUUAUAUCCCAACUAGUCUCAUAGCCACGUGAUACAUGAGAAUAUUAAUUAUAUUGAGAUGUGGUAUAAUGUAUAAUUUAUUCUCUAAA